rnacentral:lncRNA from 1 species
UGAUCACAGCACCUGGUGUGUUUAGAGUCCCCAGUGACCUCAAAGCCCUCCUCUCAUUAGGAGAAAACACCUGCCAGUCCCCAGGCUGACUCAAGACGGGGGCCAUUUAUUAGGACGCGAGUGGAGAGUAGUUGCAGAUGACCUCUAGAGCCCCUCCUAGCUCUUUCUAGAGUCGACGACUUCAAGAUGGGUAAGACGUACUCCCACCGGCCUGCCUGGGCCCCGGGCUGUGGAGCACGGCGCCUCCAAGCUGGCGCCCUGACGACGAGAGCCACUCCUGACGCCUCUCGCCCGCGGCCGCCAGCGGCACGGAAAGUAUGGCACGCACCCAGGGUGGUGCGUGAGGGCAGAGGAGCAGGCCAGGAGCGCGGCCGGGCAUGGGCCGAGGCAGGGCCUUCUCGGCUUGCCAUGGACCUGCCCCGCUGCAGCCCAGACCUCACGCCCCAAACCCAGGACAUCCAGAGCGGCGGAGACCGGAUUCCCAGACCGCAGGGCCCGUACACGCUGCGAGGAGGCUGCGCGGGGAAGGGCUGGGCGGAGCUCCGCAGGGGCGGGGACAGGUGAUUGGGUG